ensembl:lncRNA
GGCAGUAACAGUAGUCAUCUCAGAGGCACCUCCCACGGCACAGGACAGGGCCUGGCACAGGACAAAUCUCCGGUGCAUUUAAGUCAGUUGCUCGCCAUCGUCAUUCCCCUCACGUGUGAGCACAGCUUUGCAGACCACGAGCCCCGCGGUAGACGGUCUUUAUCACAUCGUGGCCCCAGGCUUCUGCGUUCCAGCACCUGUGUGACUCUGCCCAGUCUGCAUCGCCACAGGGAUCGAUAUAUGAAGAAAUAGUUAACACGGUAACUGUCUGAUCCUUGUUAUGGAUUUUUUAGCCAUUUGAGGCUCUGGGGGCUUCCUCGCUUUGAGUCAGUACUUACUAAAUUUAGCUUUUCUAGUUUUGGGUAUUAUGCUUAUAAAGAAUUGAGGUGGGUGUUAAAAUUAUCAUUUGGGAAAAUUCUCCUAUUGCCUGUUUUUCUAGUUCAGAUUGCAGUCCUGUCCUGUGGUCCUGACAGCUCUUGAACAUGCACACAUGUGUGUUUGCUGCAUUAAAGUCACACAAAAUUCUUUCACUGAUGACAAUGGACAGCCUUAUUUUAUAGGUUGCUUGUACUUGAAAAGCCCACCCCUCCCCAUAUUUAUAAUUUAUUACUUUGAAUGAAAUGGGUUCAUCAUUGUGCUUUUUUGCCUGAAUCACAUCCCAACUGGACUACAUAGACCAUCAUGUGAAGAAGUAGAAAAUAACUUGUUUACACUAAAAACAAACCUGCCAAUAUAUUUUAGCUGAACAGUGUACUAUAAAUAGUAAGCUAUUUGCUAACAGUUUCCAUUUUAAACUUAGAAUUGCUGCUGAUGGAUACUAACUUGGCACUAUUCCUGGGAGCUUUGCUUCAGCCAUUUAGUUGUUAGAUAGCAGUUAAAAUAUAUAGGACCUUCACAUUCGGAGAAACUACUGUCGAUGGGGCAAAGGAUAAACUUGUCUGCAAUAUGAAUCCACAAGUAUUUUUAAAAUGAAUGAAAAUUUGCAUUGAUUCUUUGCCAUUAAUCAAGGUAAGAGAGUCUCUUUCAACAUUUCUGUGUUACUUACAAAUCAAAGAUAAACUUACAGAAAAGUAAUACACUAAUGCUUUUGGACGAUCAUGAUUUCUUUCUUUAUACUUUUCUUGUCUGGUGCGUCAUCAGAUUACAGAUGUGGAUAUAUUCUCUGGUUCUUCCUCUCGUUUCAAUCAGAAUUUAGCCAGGGUUCCUCGCUGAAGAUCAUGUUCACAGGAAUUUCUGUUUCUUUUUCCUCAGCACUGGGGGUUAAACCCAAGGGUGCCUACCACUGAGCUACAUCCCUCGCCCUUUUUAAAAGCCUUAUUGAGACAGGGUCUCACUGUGUUCUCGGGCUGGCCUUGAACUUUCGAUCUUCCUGCUGAGCUCAGACUUCCAUGUCACCAGGAUCACAGGUGUGUACUGUAAUGCCCAGAGAAAUCUCCCAGUUUUUAAAACCACAGACUAAUAGGUGAAAGGGCUCAGUUAUUUUUUCAUUACAGCAGCUUUUCUGGUGUUGAUGGUAGGUAAAAAUAAUAAGAUUUUUGUUUGUUUGUUUGUUUUGGUACCGGGGAAUCAGCUCGGGUCCUUGUGCUUGUGCAGCAGGUGACGAAUCCACUGAGCUAAAUCCCUGGCCAAUAAAUAAGACUUUUUAAAACUUCAUUUGGCAAAGUCUGCUGAGAACUAGAAAGAUGGUUUGUUUUUUAAAUAAAUGUUUUGACAUAGAUGUAGUUGAAAGGGAAUGGAAAAUCAUUUCACAGUUGAUAGAUAUCAGAACAAACUUUCAGCUCAUGACUGGAGUUGAAGUAUGUCAUCUAUACACUAGUUUUAUGUUGCAUACUAUAAAUAUGCAAUGAAAUACAGGACAGCUUUGUUCACAUUUGAAUCAUUAGAGAAGCUUUGGACAAAACCCCGGGCCUCUUGACGACGUAAUCUGUGGGACUGAAACUUAGGCAGGCAUCUGUGUUCGGGAGCCCUAAGGUGAUUCUAAUGCUCGCCUCGGCUGCAGAGUUCCCAGUAAAUGCUUUGGCAGUUGACACACGGGAACGUGCACAGUAUCACACACAUGUGCAGAUAUGCAGGUGCACAAAGUUACAGACACAGAGAGCAAACUGCCAUUCUUUAUGUUGCAUUGUGAAUUUUACUCUAAUAGUGACAUUUAUUAUCAGAAGGGUAACAUUCAAUGAGCUGAGGACCCGAGUUCUCAGGGCCCUUACGGAGCGAUCCCCUGACUUCCCCCAAUACUCACACGGGUGUGUUUUCUCCAUUUUAACGGUCAGCAGCCGAGGCACAGUGAUGCCAAGUCCCUUCUCCAGAGCCACAGCACUGGUAAGUUAUGGAGCCAGACUUUGAAAAUGAGCCCUGGAUUUCAGGUUCUCAGCUGCUUGUCGUUUGCUGCACUGCCUUUAGUAGCUCUUCCUGGGUACUCUGUGGUUUUAAGGGGGAAAAAAAUGCAUGCUGCUUAGCACUGCUUUGGAAAUAAAGAUAAGGUCAUCAGAAAUUUCUGUCACUGUUUCAGUCUGACUUGGUACAAGAAAUCUAAUUUGCUAAAAUCGUUCUAUGUUUUAAUAGUUUUUAAAAUUAAAUGCAUCCUGGGUUAAAAGAGAAAGUUCGACUAAUGUGCAGAAAUCUCAGCGAUUACCUGGAAGUUUCUAAGCAGUAAGGAGCCUACCUCCUCCGCCUCCCCCCCCCUUUUUUUUUAAAGUAAUGUAGGCUAAAGAUCAAAUCUUUUUGCCCUGGGGGCUCUUGGUUCUCUGAUUUCAGCACCACGCUUGGCCGAGGACCAAGCUGGGCGGCCGGCAGAGGGCAGCCGCGUCCCGCGACUGGGCUCCUCUCCCGGGGCGCUGUGUGAACCGGGGUCUUUCUCCUGGUGUCCCUUACUGGUCCUGAAAGGCCAUCGGUGCCUUUAUCUGAAUGAGGACUGGAUCGAUCUCGUCGGGGAACCCGAGCCCGGGCCGGGGGCUCUGUUGCAUAGGCGCCGGGCCUGCGCGGGCCUGCAGGGCUUGUGCGGACUCCGGAGGCGACGACCCAGGACUUUCUGCAACACUUCCUGUAGAUCUGCUUCACAGACCGCCACCAGCGAAGGCCGGCUGGGCCUGGCGCUCUCCGCCUAAUACACCAUGUAAUGCGGCGCAGAUGGAGAGUUGUCUUUCGCCAAAUCAUUCCCCCGAGAGGCUGGUGGGCCCCCGGCUGUCUGCUGCACGGAGCGAGGCCCGGGUCCGGGUGCCCUGCUUCGCAAGGCCUCGUGAGCCAUAGUUAGCAGAGAAAACAGUGGUGCUGCCCCUUCCCUCCACACCCAUUUGAGCAUCCUGGCUGCUCUUUGCCUUACGUGGAAUUACACGGAACUAUUCAGACGGCUGUAAUCCAGACAGCUGCCUAGAUGAACAUGCGUUUUUGGAUUGAGGUUUCCAGUCAGAAGUUCUAGCAGAGCCAGAGCCCUGUGUCUGCAGGCCCCAGACCCUGGGGAUGUUCCCGGCGCUGUCUGAGCUGAAAGACACGGAGAAAUGCUCUGUGACGCUGACGCUCUCAGGUCUCUGUGAGUGCUACUCGGAUAACCUGGGGCACAACUGCUCUACACGCUCUUUGCUGAGGUGGUUUUUUUUUUAAUCAUUGGGCCAGAAUCCGAGGAAAUACGUUUUCGGAAACAGGACACCUUGUUCAGAAGUUGACAGGUGCAAGCACAUAUUUGUGUUCCUGAGAGCAAGUGAGGAGGGAGAUGGGCUGGAAGCUCGCAUUUGUGGAAGCUCCUUUCCUCUCUAGCUGGUCUCGGGGGGAAGGUGAUGAAGGCCGACCCGGCGUUAGCUGUGAUUGUCCUGGGUGAAGCAGUGUGAAGCAAGGAGGCAUCGUGGGCACCGUGGGUGCCUUCACACUGGCCAAGCAAGGGCAGGAGAGCUGCUUGCUGUUGAUUCGUGGGGGUUUCUUUAUACUCCAUCACCAGGAAAUCAGUGACACUUAUCCAAGGCCUUCUAGUAAGGUAGUUCAUGGAAUAAGUCUGUUUUAUGGACAAGCUGCCAUCCAAUCACUAUUUGACAGUUUAAAACAAAGGAGACUAUCAAGAUAGUCAGUUUUGUUCAGUGAAUAAAAGAAAGUUGUCCUCACGCUAUUUCUACAGAGUCCAGGCAGCUCUGGAGCUGAGGUAGUAUCAGCGGUCCACAGGAAGUUGGAUUUAGUGCUAAGAAUCAAACUUCUGUAGGCUACUUUUUAGAUCCACAAGAUAUCAUUCCCAAUUUUAAUUAAAUAUCAGAAACUUAAAAUCUAUUAACUAAUUCUUUAAUUCAAGAAAUAUUCCAGUGCUUACUUUAUGUAGGUGAUGUACCAAUGAACAAGGAAGAUGUGGCCUCAUGCCCAAGGAUUCAGAUUUUUCCAGGGGUCAGAAAGCUUAAACAACUAACUACACUGUCAUUAAAAGUUAUAAACAAGUAAGUACAAAAUGGUUUUUAAAGUAUACCAUGCUAUUUGUGCUAAAGAAGUAUAAAAGUCAUGACGAUAUUCAGAGUCUCACACAAUCUGGGAUUUCAAAGAAGAGCUCUUUAAAGUUAAUUUAAAUUUCUUUAUCUAAAAUAAGAUUUUGACAUACACAUUAUCUAUUUACACUGAUGGAUGUGGGCUUUUUAUUUAGACAGAAUGUCUAUAGAAUAACUGAAGGAGAAAAAUAUGCAAGAACUAAGAAAAAAAUUGGUAACUUCUGCUUUGAACAAAUAUAGAUAGAUCAGAUCAGUGCUAUAACCUCUCCCCAAAUCUCUUACAUGUGAGAAGUCAUAUAUCCAUUUAGAUGGGAGAAAUUAUAUUUGUCUUUUAGAAAUGUAUUUAACUAUCAUUUAAAUAAACUAAAAUUGGUUUUUAUGUUACUUUGGAAGAUGAUCCACAACAGAACCAUACAAGUUGAGUAAGUUUUCCUGGAAAUGAACAGGCUAAAAGUUGGGAUGAUUUCCUAAGGAAAAACAUGUUGGGUAUGGAGGAACAAAAAUCUACAGAAAAAACAUUAUAGAAAAACAAGUCAGAAAGAUAUGUGAUGCUCUAUGUAUUGCUUUGUCUGUUCUUGUGAAAGGUAAAUGAGACCUUUACAACAUAAACACUAGCUCAGAGUUUGAGGGAGACAAAAAGCCAUUCAUACUUUUUUGAUUACAUUCUUAUACCUUUCCAAAUAUAAAGGAUUAGUGAAUGAGGAUAGAAUUUGAUUUUAAUAAUGGAAGUUUUUAAAGACUUUCUGGAAAUGUCUGAGAACUGGAGAAAGAGAGAGAGAGAGAGAGAGAGAGAGAGAGAGAGAGAGAGAGAGAGAGAGAGAAUGAGAGCUUGUUCUUAAUUUUAUUUUGUGUUUAGUUCCAAGAAAUCACUUCAAAGAAAUCUUCUAAGAAAUCGUUUGCAAUCUCCCUGAUGUAUAGUAUAUAAAGAUGUUUGGAGCAAAUAGUUAAAUUCGAGAAUGUUUUACGCUCCUUAAUAGUGAUGGAUGUUUUCCUUGAUACUUCACCCUUGGCUGCUCUUCAAACAUAGUGCUACUGAUGAUGUUUAAUGAACUAGCUUUAUUUGUUGUGGUGAAAUAAGAAAAGAUUUGCUAAAUCUUUGAACUCAUAAAACAUUAUUAAUAUUAUGAAAAGGACAGUGACCACCUGCCCUCUGUCUCCGUUGAAGCAGAACAUGAGGAAAUACACUGCAGUAUGAGGCAGUUAUGUUAGAAUAACUGAGAAAUUUCCUGGCAGGGGCGUUAAGCAUUGCAAUGAAUCAGGAAGAAGGUUGUGAACUCUUCUUAGAGUCUGAUUCCCUUAUUAAAUAGCAUGAUCUAUCUUCGGUGUUGCUAGUCUCACCUGUAAGCUGGUAAACCUCUCAAGCUUUAGCUGUCUCCAGUAUUUCAUGAAGAUGUUCGUGUCAGAGGGAGGACCAGGAAAAGCUAACAAAAUCAAACAAUAGCCGAGAUUCGGUGAGUGUUUGUUCUGUGCUAGGCUCUGUAUGAAGAACUUUAUAAGCACUCUCCCAUUUGAACAUGGCAAUGGCCCAGGUAUUUCAGCCCCUAUGGGUUCUGUGAACAGACGCUGACUGCUACACACCAGCAGAUUUGUUUCUUAAAAUUACCAUCAACUCAAAAAUGUAUGAUGAAGGUUUAUAGACAAAUCAUCAUUGGUGAUGCUAUCCUCAUUUUGAGAAGGAGUUCUCUAGCCUGGAAAGGACUGGGUCAGGUCUCUUUGGAGGUACAAAGGUAACAGAGCACCUGGCUCUUGAGAUACUCAUGUGUCAGAGGCUUCGUGUUGUUUUUGAUGAUGUCACUAUGGGUGCUCCAAAGUUCAGAUUUCAACUUGAAAAAUUCAGUGAGCUGAAGAUCACAUUUCCCCUCCCAGAGGCAGAACACACUUCUGCAAAAGAAUAACUUAUGUUCUUGAUAGCACUUGACCUUGAAAGCUCAAAUACCUAUGUCCUUCCCACUGUUCUUUCUUCUUCUGAAACAAACCUUCACCCCAGGUUUUCGUAGUGGCUAAGUCUGAGGUCUGGCCUGACUUUGCCAGAUUUUUGUGAUGAGUCUUACUUUUGCACUUACUCCUUGUGCUUUUUACAUUGUAAUCUUAGCAACAGGGACAGGCCUUGAUUUAACAGCCUCAUGGUAAGUCUGCCCAGAGGUUUUGCCAAUGGAAAUGUAGAAAGUCCAGUGGCAAGAAAUAGUUAUGAAAACAUGCACAGUGGCGAAUACUUCGCUAGAACCCCCUGAGUUCAGGAAACUAAACAUUUUCCUCUGUUGAUAGAGCUUCCCGACUGCAUUCCUUUCCUCUAGCUCUGUCUGCCGUUUCCAGGAGGUCUAAUCUAAAUUACGUGAAUAUCAGAUGCCCCCAAGGGCCGAGUACAGAACAAGAGCUGCAGGAGUCACAGCUCUAAUGGGGGCCAUCGAGUCACCACCAUGCAACCCACACAGACUUCAAGACUGAAACAGUUUUCUUGAUGACUUUAAAGUUGUUUCAAAUAAGUUUUUCCCACUUUCUUUCUCUUUCUCCCUUUCCCUUUCUCUUUCUUUCUUUCUCCUCCCCCCUUCCCUCCUCUUUCUUUCCCUUCCCUUCUCUUCAUUUUUUCCCCUCCUCCUUCUUCUUUCCCUCUCCUCUCCCUCCUCCAUUUUAAAGAAAAGCCUCAAUAAAAAAAACAACACAGCAGUAUCUAUAAGGUCAGAUAUUUUCAUGGCUUGGGUAGCUCUCAGAAUAUAAAUUAUGCACCUUGAAAACAAGGAGUAAAUAACUUACUAAUUUUAUCAUUGCCUUCUAGGCUUUGUUUACAUUUAUUUACAUAUUUAUUUAUUUUUAGAAUUUUGCCAUUUCGUCCACGUAGGCCAGUGGCCUUUAAUCUCUUCGGCGCACAGGUGAGCAGGGUAACACGGUGGACACCUGUUUGCUCUCUAAAGUUAGGUAGUCCUGACUGUUAACAGUGCGAAUAGAUUUUCUUAAUAGUUGAGGGGUGCAGCAGAUUACAAAAUGCUUCCUUCAGAACAGCAGGAUGUGAUGCAGAGUAUUCACGUGGUGAAUUAUGAAUGUUCCUAUAAGUUUGAUCAAGUGAUGGGAUCUCCAGCGAUCAAGAGAGGAAUCACUUCCAUCACAGAAAAGACUUUGGAGUCAUUCAACUCUUUACUGAUGAGUGAAACCCUCACAGGCUGUUUUCCCAAAGCAGCAGAAACAUCGAGGAGCAAACACAGAUCCUCUGUAAAAGAAGCGGCAAUCAAUCUAUUGAUUCAUAAUGGAGAUUGAAUGGUGAAGAAUUUUAUACUUUACAUAUUUAAAACAUUUUAACGUUUUUACAAAAAAGACAAAAUGAAGCAAAUUAGCUACAAAUUAUUUUGUUUAUUUAUCUAUAAUUAUGUUUUUUGGUUUAUUUUACUUUUGAAAUUAAUUUUUUGCCAAACUUUUUACUUUGAAAUAACUUUAUAGAAAAUUUGCAAAGAUAGCGCAGAAGGUCCUCAUAUAUUUAUUGUCCAGUUCCACUGUUUUUACUAUUGUGUUUAUCAUGUACAUUUUUCAUAACUAAGAAAUCAACGUUGGUGUGUUACCAAACUCUACUAACCAAACUCCAUAUUUCUUUCAAAUUUAACUAGUUUUCCUAUGAAUCCCUUUUUUCUACUCUAGAAUUCAGAGUUGAAGUAGAAAGUGCACUUUGUUAUGUCUCUUUGGUGUUCCGUGGUCUGUGGCAUCUUUUUCAUGACUUUCAUAGUUUCAGGUACUGGUCAGGGAUUUUUGUACAACAUUCCUCAUUCUGGCUCUGUCUGUUAUUUUCUCACGAGUAGACUAGAGUUAGGGCUGUUGGGUAAGAAGACCACAGAGGCAAAGUGCUCUUAUAUCACAUCAUAUCAGGGGUACAUGCUGUAAACAGGACUUACCACUAUUGUUGAAGAACAAAAUGUCAAUAAUUAUGUCAAUACCUUCAAAGAUCGAAUUGGCUUUUAUUACUGAUUCUUGUGCUGAGAAAUAUCCAGUCUCCAAACAACCUCCAAUGAGCCAGAGAGAGUGGACAAGUUGUAGAGGCAGCAAAAAGCAGAGGAAAUCAAAAACACUGAUCAGGUAGUGAAUCGGUUCUUUCACCAUUAUUGUCCCUGAAGGAGUGCAAAUGAAGUCUUGUUGGCCACCAUCUGUCAUCUGAUUUUCAUAAAGUCAAAUCUCUUCUACUCUUGGAGGUCAUAUCUUUUUUGUAUUCAAUUCCUGCUAAGUUUAUUGUUUUUCUCUCAGUUUUUAUUUUUAAUUAGUACAUGUUUCCAAUACACAGUGAUCAUAUUCCUUACAGGAAGUUGGCACAUGCACAUGACACAUCUCAAUCCAUUUUCAACCCCUUCCCAUUCUCUUUUCUCCUUCCUUCCAUCUCUCAAUCCUCUUCCCUUAUAAGAAAGAUCUAUUUCCAUAGUUCUCAUUAUCUAUCCUUUAUUUGCUCUUCAUUUAAAUUUUGGCUUUCUUAUAAGAGAAACCAUGUGAUAUUUAAGCUUGUGUGUCUGAUUCAUUUCACUUAACAUUAUGGUCUCAAGGUGCAUCCACUUUCCUACAAAUGGCUCAAGUUUAUUCUUUAUGGAAGGUCAGAUCUUGCAAGCAAACAACCUAAGUUUCAUGGUGAUGUGGAAUCUUAGCAUGAGUUACAGUAUUUUGGCCUGCUGCUUUUUCUUUAAACAUUUGUCACUGUUUAAAAUUAUCAGCAUUUCAAAGGUACUCUCUCUCCCCUUUAAUAUUCUAUGGAAGCAAGUCCAGCCCAGCUUUAAGAUUUAAUACUGUCUCACAAUUAUUCAUUCAGAUGACCAGUAGAACUGAAGACAUAAGACACAGUGCUUUGAGUUUCUUAGAGAAAAGGUAUAAAUAAAUGUAAAUGGAACCAUGGAUCUCCUGAUCUUCACUGAGUCGCUUUCUCAUGUUGGAGUAUGACAUUCAGAGCAGGCAAAAGUAAUCAGUAUUUUCUGUCUAUCACUUAGGAUGAAAGAAAGCUGAAGAGAUGUAGGCCAAUUAUACGCUGUCAUGACAAUGGGCCUUCAUCCAAAUCCCCAGGAAGGCAUCACAGGAGAUCUUCAGAUGGCAACACAAUGCACUCCACCAUCACACUCCCAUGCCCAGAUCUUAGCACCAUUUUACAAUCUAUUUACUGUGAUCUUUGAAGAGAUAAAAUCCACUUGCCCAAUCAACAUGAUCUUUGACCUGAACCCAACAACUAUAUUUUUUUAUCCACUAUUAUUUAUGGAAUACCUAUUAUGUGCCAGAACUUUUCAUAUUUUUCUACUUUAUCUUUCAGACAUGAUUUCAUAAAAUACUUUCAUUUUUAUAAGGAAAUUGAAAGAGGUCAAGUAGUUUGGCCAUACCAGCAGAAGUUGCAUUUGGGAUUUAAAAUAAAUUUAUUCUAUUCCAAAGUGCAUAUAUGUGAAAUAAAUAAUUUUUCAAAAAUUUGUCAUAUGAGGAAAAAUCUAAUAUUGUGGAUUCUUGCUAGGUUAACAACAUCAUUAAGAUUUUUCUGUAGUAAGUAAGACUAAUAGCUCUUUUAUUUUUAGACAGUAAUUUUGCAGUCAUGGUAUCCCCAUAAUUUCUAAUAUUAUUUCUCCUGAAUUCACUAGGUAGAUAGAAAUUCAUUACAGUAAAAAGCAUUUAGCUGCAGGUGUACUGGAAGCAAUCAUUCCAUUUUCCUCACACUGCACACGUGCUGCUAAUUUUGUUUUUGUAUUGACAGUCAACAUGAAAAAUGUUUAAUAGUCAAGGUAACAGGGAAAAUCAAAUCAAAGUUCCUCUUGAAUAUUACUUGAGAGAAGUUAAUAUUUUCAGGAUCCAGUUCUUAAUGCUUAAAGACACUAAAAAUAUUAAAAGUCAUGGAGUAUGGAAAAAUCCAUAAAUUCUUGUGAAGCCUCGUAAAAUUAUUUUCCUGGUAGGUGAACAAAGGGCUGAACGAUGCCCAGAUAUACAGGUGAGAAGUCCAUCCCAUUUGUUCAUCUGGAGAACCCUUCCUAGUUGAAUAUGCACGGUAAUAAUUGGUCACUUCUCCAUCACUGUGCUUCUUCCAGAAGCUAUGAGGUGGGUUUUUGGUUUUGUUUUGGUUUUUGGGUGUGUAGCUACGGGGAAAUGGUUACACGGAGCUACACAUUAUUCAGGUUAAUCAUGAGAGCACAGAACAAUUUGCCAUUCCAGUCUCUUGAUGGCCCAGAUUUGAAGUGUCUGCAACUCUGUCCUAACAGCCGCUGGCAUUGUGUAUAAGAGGCCAUCUGGCAAAACUUAAAGUAGGUGACAGUUUUUCCUCCCAUUCUUUUCUCUACCACGUGUGUUACAGUUUCUUUCUUCACUCAGAGCACUUUCUAUUAAUAUGCAGGCCCUCUUGUCAAAGGGAGAAAAUCUGGUCUUUAAAACCUUGCUGUAAGUUAGUUACUCAUCUACCUUUCCCUGAGGUCUGCAUUUUAAGAUAGAAACCCGUAAUGGAACCUGAAUUAACAGCCUUCUGUGGCCGGGACCCGGAGGAUCCAGUCGAAGGCAGAAGACCUGGAGCUCCCUGCAGGGUCCAGUGUGAGUCUAUGUCGGGAAGCAAAGAGUCUGCCCUGGGAGAUGGAAGGAACCGGAGAUGAAUGUCCACAGGCAGGGACAAAGCCCGCAGCUUCUUUGGAGAAGAAAAGAGCAGACUCCCUUCUUUUCCUUUUUAUUCUGUCCAGGCUACAAGUCUAUUGGUUGGUGCCACCCACAUCCGGGGCGGGUCUUCCCUCCUCAGUUUGUGGCCUACCUGUCAAUCAUCCAGAGACACGCGCAGGGCUUUACUGAUUUGCUAGGUGGCUCUUACUCAAGUGAAAGUGCCAUAUCCCAAUUAACGAUUACAUCUAAUAAUGUUCAGAUAAAACGUAUUUUGUGCAAUUGGACUGAUAAAACAUGCAAAAUAUAGCUAUGAGGUCUGCUUGAGAUUCAUAUUUAGUCACAAGAAGCAAGAAUAAUUUCUUCAUUCAAUAAUACUUAGAGAACACUGACUAUGAUGCAAGAAUUUCAGGCACUAGGAGUAUCAUAGUGAUCAAAAUCAAAGGUCUCUGCUGUCCUGGAGCACAUGCUCUACAGGGAAAAUGAACAGUGAGGAUGCACAAGGCUAGAAGAACAAGCUAAAUGGCACCUGCCCAGACAAGGCCUUCAGAGGGACUUUCCAUGGGUUCGCAGCAGUUAAAUGCAGAAGUACAAACUGGGGGGCUGAAUCCACUCUGGGUUAAAAGAGCCUUACCACCAAAUAUGGAUUUUAUAGCAGGAAAAUGUAAUGCAUAGGUCUGGUCUGAAUUCUGAUUCAAAAAAUAUGCAUUCAAGAGACAAUAUCAGGGGAUCGUUGACAUCUGUUCUGUAGUAAUUGUAGUGUGAUUAGGGACAAAAAAACCCCUUAUAUACUGCUUAGAGCUGAACUCUGAAUUAUGUAAGAUAGACAUUAUAUACUGUCUGGAAAGAAAAAGAAAAAAUGUAAAAUUCUUGUGGAAAAAUCUGAUAAUUAUUUAAUUUGGUUGAUGAGUAUAUAGGUGUUCAUUGAACUAUUGUCUUUUCUUUGCAAACUAAUAUUUUAUAAUACAAAUUAAAAAUCAAAAUGACAAUGAAAAUGUGUUAUUGUGCAUAUUUAUCAUGUGCACAAUGUGCAGAGCAAAAGAAGGAAUGGAGACAAUGGGUUUGUUUUCUAAGCUCCCAAUUUAUCAACCUCACUUUGAUAUUCUUUCUGGUAUCUUUAAACUGAGCCGGUGGCUAUUUUAUCAAGCUGAAUCUCUAAGGAAUAUGCUAUUCACAGAUCACCUUUGGAAGAUUUUACAUUUGAAUAUAUUCUUUGUUAGAUUAACAAAUAGUUUCUGGAAGGACUCAGUGAAGAUAAUGAAAAAAUCUAUAGAAGAAAGAUGAUAUGACAGAAAAACCCAAGUGGAGGAAAAUCUCAGGGAAUGAGAUGCAUUUUACCUCAUCCUGGGUGAAACGGGAGGCCGAGAUAAUGCCCUCGUGGAGAGCAGACACAAUGAAGUUGUCGUUGUUGAUUUAAAUUCCCUUGCACGGUGAAAAGUGUGUGGAAUUGGAAGAGAGGCGACCAGUCAUGAAGACACUGCUGACGAGAGGGCCGUCAGCUCGCACGGGGAUGGUGGCAGUGGCGAUGGAGAGACGCGGGUGGAUCAGGAGCAUGGACAGGAGUUGCGAGGUCCAGCGAUCGCCUAGGGCCUAUUCCCUCAGAACCUCCCCCGUUGGCCAUGCCCUGCGGAAGAGCUCAAGAAUCACACUCCUUCCUGGGCCUCAGAGAAGGAAGAUGGCUUUUAGGGAACAGGUGUCUGCCCACCCUAGGGCAGCAGGCAAAUCAUUCAACAGCUUUUGCUCCCAGCCCUGGGCGUCCUUAAGGUGGCUCCAAAUGGGUCCCAACCACCUUUUAGGCAUCAUCGAAUCAACGCCGGAGAAACAUUUUGACGAUUUUGUUGCUUGAUGUCCGUCUAAAUGGCGCACGUGCUCCUGACUCUGCAGAGGAGAUGCUGGACCCUGGGCCCGCCUGAUCCCAUGGGAACUGAGUGAGCCACAGGCCAGGUAAGAGUCCCAAGCCCAGUGAGAAUGUGCAAAGACAGUUCUUCACUGAGAGGUGGUCAAAGAUAUGAUUUAGAGAAGCACCAGACUGUAGAGAAGAACUGGAAGAGUUUCCCCGUGAGAGCACUGAUUUUGUUGUGAUACAUAAAACUAGGCCUCAGGAACUAUUUCAGCAUCUUUGGCUGGAAGCCCUGUUGUGAAUGGAAACUGUUCACUGAAGGGUUUGGGUGAUUUCCCUUCAUGGUGGGGCCGUGCCUGGCUCUGCAGGAGUGGCUUGCACAGAAGUAGACACGGACGGUAGCAUUCUCAUGAAAAUAAGCUCUCACAAAACGGGUGGAAAUACGCGUCUCAUUAAAAACCCAGUGGAAAUCAGGCUGUAGGCCAAACACGACUGAGGCAUUAUUGCUAAAAUAAAUUGAAUAACCUUUACUUUUCUUCUGUUUGCCUCAGGAAUCUGUGUUCCUGUAGCUACAAGGUAGAUUCUCUUGGCUUGGUAAUUUGGAAAGUCCUGACAGAAGCAGAGAGUUUGCCUCCCAGGGCUCAAAGUGUUUCUGAGGUAUAAGGACACGACACUAAAAGUAUUACGGCCAGAAUAAAAAUUUUGCAAAGCAGGUGAAAUCUACAAAAUGAUUUAAAUUAUUAUUGUACAGAAUAAAUUUGGGAUUUUCUGACCAUUAAUUCCAAAUUGUUAAUCAUGUAAACUUGUUUUUCAUUUAACCUGCUUACUUUCUUACAAAGUCAAGGAGGUUUAUUUUGGCUCAUGGCUUCCCAAGGUUCCAUCCAUGGUCAGCGGGCUCCAUUGCUGUGGCCUGAAGUGAGGUGAAGCAUCACAGAGGAGAUGUGGGGGCCAGAGCUGCUCACCUCUUGGCACCUGGAAAGCUGAGAUAGGGAAGAGCCUGGGAGGGAGGAACUGGGGGCCAGACAGAGUCCCCAAGGCUGCAGCUAUAUGAUCACUUCCUUCAUUGAGGACCGAGCUCCUGUCUCCAUCCCUUCUAACAGUGCCAUUGACUCAUGAUCUCGUUAGCCGAUUAACCCAGGGGUGAAGUUAGAGGCUUCCCAAAGCCAAACACUUCCCAAAGCCCAUUAGCAUCCAAGCCUUGAAUACAUAGGUUCUGAGGCCUCUUCAAACCCAAACUAUAACAGUCAGCUAAUGUGUAAAUCAUGGUCUGUCUUCUGCAGGUGUGUGGUGUAAUGAUGGGAGUACACAGCUGAGCUCUGUGAUUAGGCCAGUGCAAGGCUAUGGCUCUAGUUUGUAUGACUGAGGGACGACACUGAAGGGAUUUUGUCCCUAUACCCUACUGCAGCAAUGCCUAUGCGUUACCCGAUGAUGGAUGGACGAACAUACCUACCCAGGAAGUAGCUUUAGCAGGUGCCAGAACACAGCCCAUUAGACAUACUGCCCUCCUGCUGACUCUUACUGCAUCCACCUCAAUAGACAUACAUUUAGUUUAUUGUAUUUUUAUGUCUGUAAUCACCUUAUGAUUAAUGUUAUUUAUUUAAAAUGGCUAAAGCACUUUCUUUGAGAAGAUGUACAUUAAGUAGCAAUCCAUUAGCUAUGGUUAAUUUAUCUGAUUAUGUAUUAUCACCUGUGGUUCCAAAUCUCAGGUAGGGUCAGGAUGGGAAAAUGUCAACUUUGGCUUGGCAGAUAAGAAUAGGAAUGUUUGAAAUGUCAGAAGCCACGGUCUCCUAAGCAGGAUGUUGAUGUAGGCAGGGAGAGAACAGAAUGGCAGCACUUUUAAGGUGACAUUCUAAGAAAAUAUGGCUUGGUCAAAAAUAAUGAAAUAAGGCAGCAGCCUUCUAGUUUGGAGAAUUAAAGGCAUAAUCUUUGGAUUCUGAUGUAGCUUCUGAGUCUGGGAAAGUCAUUUAAUUUCUCUAUACUCUGGUUUCCUCACAUGCAUAAUAAUUAUAAAUAUUACAUCCCUACAUGGGUGAGGAGCACUCAAUGUUAUUAUUUUUAUUUAUGUAUUUAUUUUAUUUUUAUUUUUUGGUACCGGGGGUAGAACUUGGGACCUUACACUUUCCAGGCAGGAGGCGGCACCACUGAGCUAAAUCCCAGGCCCGAUGUUAUUAUUUUUAAAUAGUAUCUUUAUUUGGGGGAUGUUUGAGGUGUUUCUACCUUAUGGCAAAAUGCCAUUAAGUACUUAAUGGAAAAAUGUACACACAUUAUUGAAGAGGCCUUUUUGGCCAUUGAGAAUUGACUGAUGAAUUCUCCACCUUUGGAAGAAGGCAGAUAUGGUCCACUUAGGUGGCUCACGGGGAGAAGCGACAGCUGAUCCUUGGUGUGGAAGGUCGGACAUGUUUCCUUCACAUGCAUCAUCUGUGCUCUGUCUCCCAGAAACGUCUCAGAGUGCUGGGACGCCGCUGUCCCUCGCCAUGGUUGCCAGCUACCUUGGGUGGCUAAGGUCCACCACUCAAUUUUAUGGGGAGGAGAAAUCCAGUUCUGCUUAGGGUAGCCGGGAUGAAAAAAGGAUUCAAUUCAGAAGACUUGGUUAUAAAUCCUUGCUUUUAGAGACUUGAUAGAUUUAUUGUCUUGGAAAAAUCACCCCAGCUUUCUUAUCCAUAAAGCUGAAGUAAUUCUUAUCUGACAGCACUGUUAUGAGAAUAGAAUGUUAUAAAAUAUGGAAAUGUCCUGAAAGAAAAUCUAGAAAUUUAUCUUUUAAAAUAGUUUCCUAGGCACUGACUGCACCAAGGGAUUUGGUGGUCUACAAAAUAUCGUAAUUUUGCCAGCCCUUGAGAAAACUGGAAUGCGUUUUAUCCCUCUUCUCUGGACAGCACUCCUUCUGAGACGUCUGUCCACCACGCAGGCACAACUCCCUGUUCAUUUACUCAGGUGAGUUCAUCUUAACAAACUCAUUAAACGAUACAUGGACUUGAUUUGCCUAUGCAACUAAAAAGCCAGGGACAGGUGUGGAUUGAGUCAGUGGAUUUUUAAAAGCCACUUUGGAUUCAAUCUCAUCCCAUCUCCUGAUUCUGCAUCAUGUGAUGUUACCUUGUCUCUAGGAUCUUCUAAAGGGGUCCAGUAGACCCAGGAAUGUACCUGUUUUCACAUUUGGCCUGUGGAAGAGUCCCUGUCCUAGUGCUCUGACCUAAAUACUGAGGCUUUUAGGUUUUGUCACAUGCUCGUCUUUGACCCGAUCCUGAUGCCAAAGGACAGGAACGCACAACAUCAGCUGACCUUGGGCCAUGUGGUCUAUUUUGGACCUUUGGGGAAGUCAGCUUCUUUAGGAUCACAUGAGUCUACAAGUUUAAACCAGAAACUAUCUAGAAAUGUAAAGAGAGCCCACAGUGGUAUUUCAUCUGUAACAUGUCCACCACCCACUGGCUAAACAAAGCCAUCGGACUGGUCUGGGUGUGUCUGGGUGGAGUGGUCCUGGGGUCUGUCUGGUCCAUCGCCCCUUUCCCUCAGGGGCUGGUCCUCUGCUCUGCUUCCCAGCAGCCAGGAACUGAUCAGCUUUGUCUCCUCAUGCCCUUCUGCCAUGAUGUUCCUGCCUUGGAGCCAGCUGGCCAUGGACCAAAUCCCUUGGAACCAUGAGCCAAAUGUACCUCCCUUUCUUUAAUCUGUGGGUCUCAGGUAUUUUGUCCGGCAGCAGGAAACCUAACCCACACAGCUAGAGAUAGAAUUUCUGGAGCUGUGGUAGGUGUCCCAGUGGAGCUGUGGCAGGUGGAGCAGAUCUUACCGUAACUCAAGUGUGCAUCUUAUGUCCUCAUGAGUCCCAGAGUAGCAGGGCGGAGAGCGCUCCAGCCCAGAUGGCAAGGUUAGGCUUGGGUUCUGCAUCUGUGACUGAGCAGGUGGAAUUCAGGUGAAUUGAUUUUCCUCUGUAAGAUUUUCCUACCUCUAGAAUGGAGGUAGUAGAAAUAAUACUUACAAGUCAGUUUUGAGCAAUAAAUGACAUAAUUGAAAAAAUGUGUUUAGUUCCUGAGAUGCAUGGAAGUAGGGAGUUAAUGAAUUUUAACUUGGCCGGAAUGUUUUUCAUGUAUUUGAAUAGAAAUCCCGGAAUAGGGACUAGGCCUAGAGAAUUUAGUAGACUGUUUGUAAGAACAGUAUAGCGCUCAGAGGGUCACCCCUCCUUCCCUCUUGUGUCUUCAGUUUGUCUCUCAGGGACAGAAGCAUGUGCCUUUGGGGAGAGGCCUCAGGCUGUUUAUCAUUCUGGAGAGCUACUGAAAUCCAUCCUAUUUAGAGCAAGCACAUAAUUGAUUGUUCAAAUUAGGAAGCUUGUUGGAUUGAGGGAAGGUACUCAAAAAACAAUGAAUAGCCAGAACUCUGGGAGGCUGAUGCAGGAGGAUCCCAAGUUUGAGCCCAGCCUGGGCAACGUAGCUACUUAGUGAAAUUGUCUCAAAAUCAAGAAACAAAGACAGAAAAAUGGCUGGGGAUGUAGCUCAGUGCAAAGGCCCUGGGUUCAAUCCCCAGUGCCAUAAAAACCGAAAUAAACAAACAAAAAACCCCAUUAACAUGGAAUAGUUGAGCUGGAAGAGGUACACACAAGAACUUUCCCAGUUAAACUGCCUCAUGUAUGAAAGUCUUCACCUAAAAUAGAAAGAUCUAGAGUAAAAUUAGGCACCUAAUAAAGGCAAAGAAUUCUAAAAAGAAAUGUUUUCUCUUCUCUUUCCUUCUGAACCAUCAGUAAAAACUAUCCCAACAUUCAACCAUUUUGUUAUUUUAUUCUAUUUAAAAUACUGUCAUAAAGAUUCAUAUAUCCACACAAAUAUUAUAGAAGAUGUAUUUUUUACUCCUAAUUUGAGUUCAUUUGUUAUAAGAAAUAGGAUCAACCAAAACACAUUUCUAUGGUUAUAUUUAAAUAUAUCUACACUUUAAAAAUAAUAAAGCUGGUUAUGUUUCAUCUUACCCAUAAGCCACCAUAUGUCAGUCUGAAGCUGAAGUUAGUAAUGGUUCAUAAAACCAGAGUUCUGAAAUUUUGAACCUUUGGAAUUAUCUGCUUUCUUGUUUCUUUAUUUCUCUCUGGGCUAAAUAGAAUUUGUACAUCUGACAUCCAAGGUCUUUAUAAACACUAUUAAAGUAAUAAAUGUCAUUAACUUUAGCAUCCCUUAAUUAUUGAUCCUACAGAAGUAAGAGGAUAAUAUAAUGAUCAUUUCCAUGCCAUACCAUACUUUUAUUCCUUUUCGUGUGUUAUGUGGCUAACUCCAUAUACCAUGUGUUAGCAAAAUUUACUAGUAAAUUAAUAAAGAAUUUGUGCUGUUCCAAAAAUGAUUUGAGAACUAAUAAGAAAUACUUACUUUUUAAAAUAAGAAGGAUUUAAAAUAAUUUAAAAGAAGCAAAGGGAAAUAAGAUUAGGUAGAUAAGAUGCCCUCUAGAAUGAUGUUCCAGACUGGGUACAUAAGUUUGUUCUUAUGUCUUAGCAGUCAAAACAGGGGAAAACAGAAUAAGGUUCAUCUGUCAAAAGGUCCAUAGGCUGAAAACAAAGCCCUUGCUCAUGAGAAUCACAAUCCUUUAAUGUUAAAAGAAGAGUUUUCUUCCUUAGAAAUGUGCACACUUUAAGUUUCUUUAUAUUUCUACAAGGUAAAGUUAUCGUAUCAUACUGCCUAGAAAGUUAUUUUGUCUUCCUAUGUUGGUGAUUCUAAUGCUUAAAAUCUAACAAUUUCCCUUAGCUUUGAAAGGUAUUCAUUCCAGUAGCUUGCUUGUGUACUAAAUCAUGUAAUAAUUGGAUAUUUAAUUAUAUUCUACCAAAGGCUUACACAAACAUAUGUGCAGGUUGCAGUAUGAAAUAUGUAUUUAUUCACUUUCCUCAGAUUGUUUAACAUAGAACUACACAUGAAAAGAAAGUUAUUUCCUAGCUGUAAGAAAAAUAGAAAAUCGCAGAUAUUAUGUAAAGUAUUGUGAACACAAUUGCACAUAUAUUUUAUUUAUAUCUCUUAAUUUUACACCUUAAUGGAACUCAGAGUGCCGUUUCAACACCUGGACACUGAUCAAGUCAGGGUAAUUAGCAUUUCAAUCUCCUUAUCAUUUCUUUAUGUUUGGACUCUAUGGACCUUCAUGAAAUAUACACUGGGCUGCUCUUGGGAACUCUAGUCAUGUCUCUCUGCUGCAGAAAACCAACACUUAUUCCUUCUUUCUGUGUUUGGUACCUGUGCCUCAACCUCCCUUAAUUACCCUUCCCCUCAAAUCACACAUUGUCUUAUUGAAACUUUACUUUUAAUCUUUUUUCUUUUAAAAAAGGAAUCAAAGAGCAAAGAAAAGAGUAAUAUCAUUGCUUGUGAUGAAUCCAGGUUGCAGAAUGCUGUCAGUUCUGGACACGUGUGCAUAUGAGCUCUCGUAUCCUGGAGUAACUCCCACAGCAGCACUGCCAUGGUGCUCCUCCUACACUGAGCAUUACUUGUAAAGUGCAAGCGCUUGGGAAGAACUGUGACAUGUGAUGAAUCUGGUCAGCGUCAGCGCACUCCUACCGCUGCCUGGCCGCCCUUGUUCAGACACAGGCAGAGAGUAGACAACAGGCAGACAUGCUAAUGCGCAUUCUGCGGUGACCAUCAAGAAGGCAGAGAUAAGGCUCACCACAGGGGACAGUGAAGAAAACUUCGAGUAAUGAUGACAGUAUAUGAGGUGGGAUCAAACUAGCAGAUGUUUACAUUGUUUUAAAAAAUUAGUGCAAUAAAAGAUACAUUGCCAUUAACCCUCCUCAAAAUAUCCUCGCCUCCACUUCAAACACUCUUGGCCCUCUGCUCUUGCCACUUUCUGAGGCAGUUCUGGAAGUCCUCUUCCAUCCGUGUCAGUAGUUGUACUACUGUGACUGCCUCGAUGUCCUGAAUCAGUUCAAAACAUGUACUAUUCAUGGUCAUUUUGACCUUUGGAGAAAAGCCAGAAGUCACACAGUGCCUGAUCCAGUGAGUAAGGGGCCGAGGACACAGCACUGUGUUUACAGACCCGUGUUUCUGUCGGAUGCACUUGGCAGCAACAUUCACCACUUUUUGAUCAAACUUCCUCAAGACCCUCAUGAAGAGGACUUCCAGAACUGCUUCAGAAAGGUGCAAGAAUGGUGGGAAAGUGCAUUUAAAACUGGGGAAAUAUUUUGAGGGGGAUUAGCUUCAAUAUGUCUUUUACUGAAAUUAUUUUAAAAAUAAUUUUAAACAUAGAUCAUAUCUUUGGUCAUAACUUGUGAUGAAAUGAUGAGAAAAUAAAUGUCAUAGAGCUAAACGAUAGGAGCCUGGAUGUAGCAAGGCUGUCUAAGGCCAAUUGCUCAAGUCAUUUACCACAAAGAAUUCAAAAGGAGGAGAAACACUGACCCUCAUAGUAGAAUUUUGCUAUAGACCUGAGCAAAACCAUCACCAUUGGCAAUAUUUCAACACACUCAAUGUUGCAAGAAUGAGGUGAGACAUUGACAAAGAAAUCCAGAAACACAGUGGCUCAAACAAAACAGAUGCUUAACAGAGCCGGAGGAGCUGCUGAGCUCCCCAGGAGCCCAGGUGCUUUCCACAUUGUUGCUCUGCUGUUCCCAAGGUUAGCCUUGAGGGUUGGGUGGGAUCUAGCUCAGGACCCUUGUUUUCUAGGCUGUAGGAUGUAAGGAAGUAAACAAUAAGUGAUUUUCUCCUUUCAAGAGCAGAAGUGGGGUUGCACACAUUACUCCUCCUCAAUCAUCAUGAGGAGGAAACCAAGCACAUGGGCACAGAGGGCUGCGAGAAAGGCCUCAGGCUGUCAUCUCUGGUUGAGUGGCUGCAUCUUGAGGGGAAAAUAAUUCCUCAAAGGGAAGAGAAAAGAAACUAGGAGAUAAAAGUCCCCGCCCCUGCAUGGCAACAGUUUUGUGUAAUGAAAUUCCAGGUUAGAAUGCAGGAUAUGGUUCCAGGAUAGUGGAAUAGAGUAAGAGAGAGGUUUCUGGCAAAGAAAGGACAUUUAUAAGGAGAAGCCAGGAUGUCUUGCUCUGCAUGUGACUAUCCUCCAUGGUGCUGAUGUCCUACUGGUUUAUUAGGUCACUGUGAGUCAGUUUCAGGAUGCAAGUUCUACUUCCCUUGAAUUUUCUGGCAGGUUAGGGAGUAGUUGGCCAAGUCCCUGCAGAAUCUGACAGAGCUAAAGGAAAUCAAUUUGGUUUUACUUUCUUCAGACUUCUGUGAUAGGACAACUAUGCAAAUAUGUAUCUAAUUGUUUCUUACACUUUUGACUCUGCUUGAACGCCCACAGAUUAAACUCUAAUUCUUUUGGAGCAAACGACAGGUAAUAAAUCUAAUCUAUCUAGAGAAAUCUGUUUCAUCAAUAUUUGCCAAUAGAUAUACCACCAGUGUUUCUGGCUUGGGAACUAUAUAGAAACUAUGCCCCAAAUUAGCACUGACAUAAGGUACUCUCAGAACAAGUUGCACCAAGCUUUUUACCUUACUUCUAUUGCUAAUAAUAUGGAUUUAGUCUAGAAGAAAAGUGAGCGAAUUAAAUAAAUUUUCAAAAGUCCUGCCUGAAAGUUAAGAGUAACGAUUCCUGUGUGGUUGUUUUUUGGAUCAGAUUUGCGGUGAUAACGGCUGAGAACUUUCCAUCCUCAUACAAGCUGGGUCUCAAAUUCCUAAGGAAACUCCUGCAGAGCCGCGCUGUUUGCUUUUGAAAGAUCAUAUCCUGACUUGCCUAUGGAGCCUUUGGUCGGAGGUGGGAUAAUUUUUGCAGCUGGGGGGAACCUAUACCUUGCUGGGGAAAAUCAGCAUGAAACAAUUAAUCACUCAUCCAAAAAUAAGAAUCCUAACCGAAGGGUGUUCACCGAUGAAAGAGCAAAGAAAACAUGUGCAGAGACAGUCUUCCUUCUGAUAGGCAGUGAUUUUUAAAGCAAAUUCUUCAUGUUUGGGAGUUGCUUCUUUCUUUGCUUUUUAUUAAACAGAGUUUUGUUUUCCUGAGUAAAAAAGAAUCUUAUUUUCAAAGGGCUGUUAUCCUGCUGCUUGCUCCCCAUAUGAAAUUAUCUUGCAGAGUAACAGGGCCUGGUGUUCUGGAAAUUGCAUAUGGGAUUUCUUAGUUUAAGAUCAAAGUCCUGUGACUGGAAGUUCACAAGAGUCACUCUUUUUCUUUCUAUUCAUACUUACAUUUUUAUUUUUCAAAACCAAUGCAUCAGAAAUUAUAUAUUUUAUGGAAAAUGAUAUGAUGUUGUGAAAUAUGUACACAUUACGGCAUGGCUGAACCAAGCUACUUAACACAUGCAUCCUCACAUGCUUACUAUGAUUUUGUGGUGAGAACACAUAAAAUCUAUUAUCUCAGUAUGUUUCCCAUCAGUCACUGCCUUGAAAUUGAACAGUUUUCAUAUAUCUUCUAAAUUUAACAUUUCAAAUUUGGCUUUCAUAAAAUAUUUUAGUUAUUAUGUUAGUACUUAACUGAGGAAUAGCUCAAACUUGGUACAUUCAUUUGUACAUUCUGAAUUAGUGGAAAGAGUUUGGGGUUAUAAAUGGGGAUGUAGAGCCACACCUCCUCCCAAUCAGAGGCAAACUCUGCUGCCAUGACAAAGGAGAAGCCAGCAGCUUCAGGGUGCGUGGUCAGUCUGUAAUGACAUUAGUACUGUCUUCGCAGGGGCCAGCUCACUGGAGUUCUAGCUCUAUUGUUCGCACUGAACUUUUACCUUUCCACAGAGUUAAAUGCAUUGCCAGUGUCCCAGUGUAUUCAGAAUUAAGCUGCCCUUACCUAUUCAGAGUUAGUAAAAAGAGACUUAUAUUUUGUCCUAGUAUUUUAUUUUCUACAUGAUUUCUCUCUCUUGGAAUUUAUUUUGGUAUAUGGUGUGAAGAGAUGAUCUAAAAUGAUGUUUCUCUGAAAUAGUUGCCUCAGUUGUCUCUUCUUUCACAUUUGAUUUUAUUUCUUUGUAAUAUAUAACAUUAUUAAAAUUAAUAUAAUUUCAAACAAAUAUUUCUGACAUUUCUUGUAUAUAUCCUACUUUAUCGAUGUGUCUGUUUUUGCAUCAACAGUAUGUCUUAAUUAAAGUGCCUUAUGGUAUGUUUUAAUAUAAAGUUGGGCUACUUCCAAAUGAAUGCUCUUUAGUGAGAGAAUUUAUGUAAAACUCCUAUAUCUAUCUACGUGUCCCCAUGUGGAUGCACACAGCAAUUGGGAGAUUUUCUAUGGCACCAUCCUAUCCUGUCUUGGACCUUAGCCUUCAUCCAGAGGAGCACUGUGUGUGCUGUCUCCCACCAAGCCAGGGGUCUGAGCAACUUUAGCAUCUACACUAUUCCAUUAGUGUUACCUCCACACCUACCAGUUAGCACCCAAUCUAGCACUGCCUAUACCUGCUCACUGCAUGCUGCAUUGCUAGUUUUAGAGUCAUGAUUUUUUUUUUUUUUUGGUACCAGGGAUCGAACUCAGGUCCUUGUACUUGCGGUGCAGGCAGCAGAAACACUGAGCUAAAUCCCCAGCCCUUAGGGUCAUAAUAUUAAAAAAGUUAAUAAUGUCUGAAUUUUUACUUAGGGACCAAAAGUUGAUUGUGUUUUAACCUAUACUCAACUUUCUUUCAGAUAUAAAAUAUUCUUCUCUAAGAAGGAGAAAGGUAUAGUAUUUACUUGAAUUAGUAUCAUGCCUAUGUGGUCCAACUGAGAGGUGAAGAAAACAGGCUGAGGAGGGACUUUCUGAAAUUUAGAUCAGAUAAAAUACUUUAUUUGUACAAAAAGCAAUUAGUAAUAAUUGGACUUUUUAAACUCACAAACAAGACUAAAGACAGCAAAACAUAUGAGAUAAUAAAAAUAUCCAUUAUCCACUCCACAUUAUUUGUAAUAACUUCAAAUGAUAAAAGAUUACAUUAAAAAUCCAAUUUAGGGGCCAGGGAUUUAGCUCAGUGGUUCCACCGCCUGCCUUGCAAGCACAAGGACCCAAGUUCGAUCCCCAGUACUCCCUGCCAAAAUAAAUCCAAUUUAAAAAAUUUUUAUUGCAUAUAAAUUGACAAAUUACAUUUGUGUAUAUGUACUGGGUACAAAGUGAUCCUAAGAUUUAUGGAUAUGAGGAGUCAUUAAAUUAAACUAAUUAAUAUAUCUAUCACCUCAAAUGCCAUAUUUUGGUGGUAACAUUUGAAAUUACUGUUACUGAUUUUGGUAUGACAAAUAAAUUUUAAUUGAUUUAGACACAAUGGCCAUGUGUAUGUUCCCUUUUUAGGUUGGAGUUAUUGGAAAAAAUAAGGCAUACAAUAAAGUUUUGUGAUUUUUUAAUAAAGUUUGGUACUUGGUUUAAGAAAAUGUUUCUCAGUCGUGAAGGUAUAGGAUCAAACCAAAUGUCCAUUAACAGAUGAAUGGAUAAAGAAAAUGUGACUAUAUAUGUGAUAAAAUAUCUCAACCAUACAAAAUAAAAUUUUGCAGCAACAUGGAUGGAAUUGGAGAACAUUAUGUAGGUAAAUAAAUCAAACACAAAAUGACAAAUACUGCAUAUUUUCACUGCAUAUGGAGGCCAGAAGGUUGACCUCAGAGAUACAGAGUUGCAGAGUGGUACCUGGAAUGCAGGCCUGGGAAGGGAGUGGGUAGCUGAAGGAUGGUUCAGGGGUAUAGGGCCGGCUGGAGAGGAGCGAUAACCCAACAUUCUCUAUUGUACAGCAGGACAGCUAUAGUUGACAAUAACUAGUUGUAUACUGUAUUUCAAAAUAGCUAGUAGAAAGGAUUUCGAGCUUUCCCAACACAGAGAAGUGGUGAGUGUUUCACAGGAUGGAGUUGUCAGCUAUCCUGAUCUGAUCAUAAUACCUCACACACGAGCAUUUAAAGAAAUAUGUACAAUUAUUAUGUGUUAAUUAAGAACAAAUAAAAUGAAAUGCUGCAAAGAAGUGUUUUUUGUCUAUGGCAUGCUAGAACAGAAGUAUUAUUUUAGUUCAUGAUAACAAUGAUUUUCCAGAGGAAGAAAUAUGAGAAAAAGUAUAGGGAAGGUCUAUUUGCCUAAGUAUGACACGAUUAAUAUGAUUUCAAAAGACAUUAGGGAUUUUUAUCUAUCUUGUCUUGUUCCAAACAAGGGGAUACAGAGGAAAAAGGAUGAAAAUCCCUCAUAACAAGUCCCACAUAUCGAUCUUGGUUUAACCUUUAAAAGGAAGCAUUCCUAUUUUCAUUAUGAAACUAUAAUAUCUUCCAACUAAGGGAUUCAGAGCAAACGUUCAUUCCCGAGCAUGGCUUUCUGAUUUCCCACGGCCUGUGGCAGGGUGAAGAUGCUCAGGCUGCAGGCUGAGCAUCCAGGAGGGCACAGAGAGGGGUUUCUCAGGCUCACGACGGAUUACCAGAGACCAUGGAUUACCAGAGACCACAUCUUUCCACACAUCCCCAUCACUGAAGAGAUCACUCGGGCUGCGAAUCACUGUAGAAAUGGAGGACGAGGAACAAGCAAGGGGAUGUGGUGCAGAGAUGACUCUGGAGAGCUGAUAACUAAAAAGGCACAAGGCAGAAAGACAGCUUGUGAGAACCCACUGACGCUUCACAGCCGGUCUUAUCUUCUGAGAGCUGGAGAACUCUUGGGUCCUUUCCCAAAGUUCCCUGUUAACUUUCACUGACACUGAGGUUUUCAUGCCACGGACUUAACAUCUUCAAGAUCAAAUAGAAAAUAGUAUUUCAAUCAUAAGGGUGAACUUCAGCAUAACUUGGCAGCUUUCAAGUCUCAGAAGUUAAAUGGGUCUAGGAUUUAUAAACGCCUCAUUACAGAGGAUCAGGGAUUGAAAUCUCUAACUGGUCCUCAGGGCUUCAGGGUGUUACCAUCUAAAGGGCAGUGGCUUUUGUUAAAGCAUGAUUAGCUGCUCCAUCAUUAAAAGUCAUUUUGAUUGUGAAAUGUUCUUGUAUAGAUUUAGAAGAGACAAAACAGGUUAAAAAAACUAUAGCACAC